AACGGCCAUACCAUGCUGAAUAUACCGGUUCUCGUUAGAUCACCGAAGUCAAGCAUCAUUGGGCACGGUCAGUACUUGGGUGGGUGGCCACCUGAACACCGCGUACCGU
rnacentral:rRNA from 1 species